GCGGGGAGAGCGGCGGCCGCUGGCAGGGAGGGAGGGAAGGAGGCGGCACCGGACCCUUCCUGCCGGGCUAGGCCGGGCGCGGCGCGGGGAGCGUGGCCCCUUCCUCUUCCCCGCAGUGCCACCGGGUCGGCGUGAAGGGGCAGGAGAGGCGCUGAGACCUGGGCCGAGGCUGGGCCGCCGGCGCUGGGGAGCUGCCGUGGGGAGGGGACAAACCACGGCGUUGCCGAAGGGUCACUGAGGAAGGUGGUGGCGAAGCUGCUUGGGCUUCGGUGGCCGCCAACCCCGCCGAGCGGCUGCAGGGGUGCGGAGAUCGGUCCCUCUGGCCAAGUCCGGCUCUCAGGAGCGUUUGAUUGUAAAAAGCAAAAAGCGAGGGACUUUGGUUUCUUCUUCUUCUCUUCUGGACUGUUCAGAACACCAAAACAUCAGCUGGGAGACCUUACACCUCAGCCCGGAGGGACCCAAGCCAACCCAACUCCAAAGAGGAGAAAGCCACACCCACAAUGGACUCUGGAAAUUUACCAGGUUCUCUCCACAGCGAGAGUUUUUAUUAUUUAGCAUUAUUCUUUUCUCAUUGUGCAUUAUGUCUGUCAAAUAAGUUUUUUCUUUCAAUUUCCUCAGAAGAAAAUAUUUUCCUGAACCUGGUGGGGGAGGGGUGGCUGUAACCUCCCUUCUAUCAGAGGACAUUCAUUUUGGAUGUUCCUCCAAAUUUGUCUAAAAUCAGGACAAUCAUAAAAAUGAGCUUUCUAAAUUACAAUUUCAGACUGACCAUGACAUUAACCAAACAGAAUUUCAAAAAUUGUGUAGAGAGGAUAAGCAAAUGCCUCUUCCCAUCUUAACUAGUAGUACAACCUUCUUUGAUUUAUCUUUUAAUCUGUGCUACCUUAUCUCAAAAAUAUUACAUAAAUAGCUGAGGUUAAAUUUCCUAAAGACAUCUGCUAAGGCAUUAUUUCCUAUACCAAAAAUCAGUAUGUUAUUUGUAUUUGCUUUUCAUAGGUAUAGAUGAUACAGAGUCAGUAAUUAUUGUCCCUUGUGUUUGCAGACUUUCUCCUCGGGCAAAAGACACAUGUUUACACAAUACCCAGAGCAUAAUAUGUAUUUUAGAACAUUGACAGAUGUUGAAAACAAGCAUAGCUCAUCUGAAGUCUUUCCAGACAGCAUUCUUUGUGUUCUGGAAAAUGCCUUUGUGCCCCCAGAGGUGGUUGCAGACCUCUUACCAAUUGCACAAUAUUUAGGUUUUAAUUUUCAAGGAACGACUCAUUUUUCAACAGGGGCAAGUCUGAACAGGUCAUUGUGUUUUAAGAGAAAUGGUUAUGGAGAGGCAGGGAUGCUCUUCCAGAAUGGCAAAGAAAAGAAGGAAAAGGGAGAUGUAUGUUUCGGUUUAGGCUGUAACUGGGGGAAAGAAUUACUUGGAGGAAAUGACCAUGAAUCAAAGGUCUUUUUCACGGUUUAAGGGCAGCUGAAAAUUAAACUACACACAGCUGCUCCCCUUCCCCACCUCUCUAGUGAGAGAGAAUAAGGGCAGAGAUCUGGAGCUAAGAACAACUUACUGGAAACAGCAAUGACAUAAGGAAAUGAACAUCAGCAACACUAUUUAACAACAAAAGUAAACAAAAAAGAGGGUGAUUUACAUACAAAAAAUGCUCGCCAUCCGAGCAACCUAACCUGUUGCCACGCAGCUCCAAGACAAAGAACAAAAUGGCCCCCAGACCCUCUGUGUACAUUUUCCCCCCAGGCCUGAAACAAUGAAAAAAAAUGGCAGCAAAACCCUCCAGUCGGGACAAUUGUUACCCCACUGCUCCCUGGAUAAAAGAAUGCCUGCCCUGUCCCGGGAAGCAAGAGCCCUUUCCCUGCCCCUGGCCAUGAUUUAAGAUGGUAUGGAACAGCACGAUGACUUGGCCAUGCACAUGUGGCUCCAGGCUCCAUCCUUCGUGUCCUUGGCCAGAACUAGGACAGUCUUACAGAGAAGGUUUGGAGUGGCUUGGUAAGUUGGUAGCCAUGGUGAAAGAAGGGAAGAAAAGUCAUACCAUUCGCUAUGCUGAACAAGAGCAUGGGUUUUAUUCUCCUGUUAAUGAAUUCUUGUAACACUAGUGAGUAAAGGCCUUCCCUCAAACCACGGUGAGCUCGGAGCAAAUACCUACACAUUCAGGCCUCCAUUCAGAACUUCUAAGUGAUUUUUAAUGGGUACAAUUAGGUCUAAAGAGGCAGGAACAUUCCUCUGAAAAGAACAGGAUGUUUAUGGAUUCAAGGAUCUCAAAGCUGAGGAAGGUGACUCAGAUGACUCAGACUAAGUCUCCAUCCCAGCAGGGGAAGGGCCCUUGCACCUCUCAGCUGCCUCCCUCUGUAGCCCAGGGAAGGCAUCUAGCCCAGAGUUAAUAGAACAACACACUACUUGCCUCUGUUAGUUGUUUUGCUGGUAUCUUUCUUCUCCUUUCUAAACAAGUAAUUGCAUAAAAGACUCCCACACUUAUCUCUGUUUUCAGAUUGUCCUCUUCUAGUUUUGAACCACUAGUUCUUUGAAUAUUUCCAUACACUCCAAGACACUCUGCAUAGAGUUAAGUCCCCCCUCAUAAGGUGUCGAAUGCAACCUGAGGCACUUCUCAGUAGUCUGAGAAAGCAAUUCUUCUCCCCACCUGUUAGUGCAAAUGUAUUUACUCUGGGGUUGUAACUUUUUUCUAUACUUUGUCCCAGGUUACAAUCCAAACUUUUAAAAGGUAGUAACUCAAAUAGUAUAUUUUUACAAGCUCCUUACCGGAGAUCCAGAAGGAUUAAUCCAACUUCUCAAUUCUGUUUAUGUAUCCUAGGACUAGUUCUUGUGCCAGUGUUUUUGUGCUGAAUUGCUUGUCCACUGGGGCUACAGAGGAUUAUGGGGUAUUUACUCCUUUCCAUGUUCUGUAGGCAAGAUCAGAAUAUUUUGCACACUGAAUAAAAACAUUAAUUUAAGACCAAGUACCACCAACUUCUUCAAUAACAUCUCUAUUCCACAAUGACUUCCUAAUGGAAAUUAUUUUGAGGCUAUUAGUUGUUUCCUAAACAUUGUAUUGGAUGAUACUGCAUAACAUCAUGUUUUGAUAACAGUAUUGUAAUACUUAAGGUGACAGUUAAAUGCCAAGUAGUGAAAUAAUUUAGGUGCACCUAUGUUAUCAUCUUUAUCAAUUGUCUUUUUCAAUUACUGCCCUGACAAGUAACAACAUUUACUUAAAUGAUGUUAAUUCUUUAUCAAUAGAAUCCUCUAUUAACUUUUGCAUAAUUUGGCCCAGGAUGACUGUUAAUGUUAGCUGGCAUAGAGUAACCGAGUUCAUUCCUUAAAUAAAUUUCUCACAUUUGGACUAUUCCGGCUUUCCAUGUUAUUCCAAGGUGCAAUUUCUUUUGAAAAUCUCCUUGCCUCAGGAACACAUUAUGCCAGUAAAGCAUGCCAUCUUGGAACUAGAGAAGUGGAACUGUUUUCACAAUGUUUACCCCCCUGGGAAAAAGAACUAAAAAAAUCUGAAGACAGCAAUUUGCCUGCAGACUAAGAACAUGCUUAUUCUAUCAGAUACAGUUUUCCUAUUAUUUCACUACAUUUAUAGUGAUUUUCUUUGUCAAAGUAACUAGUGCUUAGAAACAAUGAAAAACCGUACCCUGCAACUACAACUCUGACAUCAAAGAAAGCAGCAUAAUUUUUAAAGAAAACUAAUGGGUUUGCCAAUUAAUUUCUUGGCCUGCCAUACUGAUUUCCCUCUAAAGAUUUCAAAUAUCUUAAAAAAAUACACCACACUCCGUAAUACAGGGCUAACUUCCUGGGAAAGCUAGAAGGGGUUGUGGCCUUCCCAUUAGCAAGUAGCUGUAGAUGCAGCAGAUGUUUCCACAUCAUCUGACUGUGGAACAUCUGACACCUUUUCUCAUUUCAUCAGCUCAAAAGUAAGCUGCAAACUUCGCCUCAGUGUGCCAGGAGGGCAGGUGGGACUUUAAUUUAGGUGGAUGAUGCACCAAAGCAUCCAGAACAUUGUCUGAAGCCAACUAAAACAAGAGGUCCUGAGCAGUGUUUCUUUACCUCUCUUUCCCUCCCAGUCUGGCUUUAAAUGACAUAUUGCUGUCACAAAAUCUACAGAAUAAGUGGGAACUGCAAGCUCUCUUCUGCUUCCUACUCUGUUCUACUCUGCUUCUGUGACUGUCACAUUAACAAAAUUAACUGAAUCUUGUAAUUUUAGAGUUUAUGUUGAUAUAUAUAUAUAUGUUUAUACUGACAGCAAAUGUUUUGAUGAAAAAAACACACCAGAUUUUUAUCUGACAUGAUUCAUAACAGAUGUUAGGAUUCUCUUCUCCAUAUAAAUGAUGGGUUAAGUGAGAAUAACUUUCGAUAAACACUGUAAAUAAUAAUAUACUUUCUGUACUUUAAAACAUGUCCACACUGGAAGAAUUCUCUUGUAUGUGAAUACAUGUUUUAUAAAACUCACAACUUGACUGAAGUCCUAGAAACCUUUGAGACACUCGAAUAGAGAUAUUAUUGAUUUUUAUCUCUGAUUGGGAAGCUGAUUAUACAAACUUGUGCGUUUGUAAACUUGGAAGCCAAAUUAACAAUAACAAAGAAAAAAAUUAGAAUUCAUCUAUGUACUUUUUUCCUAAUUGAAUGUUACUUUGAUCAAUACCCUUUUAAAUUCUAGUUGGAUGAUCCAAUUAUUAGUAGGUAAGUACAUUCCUUCAAAUAUAACAUUCUGUGUGUGUGUGUUUAUUUACAUUUUCAAAGGGAGAAUGAAGUGCAUUAGGACUCCGAGUUAUCAGAUAUUAAAGCUCCAAUCUACAAACUCCUAAAGUACUUUGGUAAGACAAAUCUGAUCCUUUGUUCUGUGUGGUUUUUCCAAACAAGUUCUAGGCUAACAAGAUAUGGAAAAAAUGGGAGUAUAAAUAUAGGGGGGGGGUCUGUGUUAUUCAAAGAGUUGAUGACUUCUCUAGGACUACUUCCAAAAGCUUGUAUCAUUUCCCCCCCACCAACACCAUAGGUUUGUAUAAUCUUAAAUACAUUCCCUCAUUUCCCCAGCCAUCUCACAAUUAGCAUAUUUGCAUUUGAUUAUUGUUACAGUAUUACUUUUAAAAACAAACUAAAUUAUGACAUUGUUUUUGCAGCCUUAUGUUUCAGAGCCAAUGACAGGAGAGAAACUCUUUUAUAUAUACUAUCUACUGGAAAUACUAUUAAUCUUGUUCUAUGUUGGUCAUUACAUAACCAGUUUGUAACUGAGAAUAUAACUCUCAGACAAAGACAACCCAUGACACAAACACUGUGGGAAAAGAAUUUUUAACAAAAUGGAGCACUACAUAAGGCCUUGAAUAGCUUUAUUGAAAUCUGUAUAAAUAAACAUGCGCAUUUCAAAUGUAAACCCAAGUGAACUCAAGUGCAGACAAAAUUUUAACCUCUGUCAUGCAGGAGGUUAGUUUACAUUUAAAAAAAAAAACCUCAAAGCAGCUUUAAAAUACCAGGAUGAAACACCAGUUUUAAUAUCAAGGUAUAAAGCAAAGCCAUGUCCAACAUAUCUCAUUUAUAUCCUGGUCAAAUGCAAUUUUUUAAACUUUUUAAUGCUAACAUAAAUAAAUAAUUUACCAAAAUGUGCACUCACAGAGUGAACUUUUAUUUACAAUACACAAUUUAUAACCUAUUGUAUUUGAUUAGUUCAAGUGAAGAACAUCAUACUUUUUGCUUUUUUCUUUUUUAAACAGUGGGACACAAAGCAAUUCUCCAGGUAGUAGAUAUGUGACAUGUGCCCCCACAUUUAAGAGCCCCUCUCAAAGGCAGUAUUGUAUGCAAAUCAACAAUACAUUCUUCCAACUAGAUCAAUGGGAAAGCAGCAAAUCAAAAAAUGUUUCAAACAGUCACACUUAUUUUGGCAUCCUGGACCCCUGAACAUAGUUAACUGAAAUCCAACUUGGAGUUUGUAUGCCUUAUAUACUGUACAGGUUCUGACUUGAACAUGCAAAUGCCAAUUCUCUUAUGAAUUACCUUUUCAGAUACACUGUAAGGCUAUGGUGAAUUCCAUCCGGAACACACAAAGAAAAUUAACAGGCCUACCUUUAAAGUGAUUUUGUUAAUUAACAAUUUAAAGGCAGGUUAUAUUGAAAAAAUUCUUAACUAAGCCUGAUACACAGUCAUUACUAUGGAUACAGAAUACUAUUAACUCGGACCUUCGUACGGAGUAGUUUGCAAGCAGUCAAACUACCAAAAGUGGGGAGAGAGAACUUACAGCACAAUUUAAAUUUUGGACUGUUAUCAGAUUAAAAUUAUGCAUGUCUUAGAAGCAAGGUAACAGGAAUUAUGUCUGCGGAGUAGAUUCCAACAAGCAACAAUGGAUACUUACAUUUAAUUGAAAACCUUUUUGUUAAUGCAGCAUGAAAUCCAGAACCUGUUCCACAGCAGCAGUAAGAUGAACGUAAUAUUCUGGAUGUUCCACUAUAUCACAAAAGGUUAAAACACCUUUUUCAAGCUAUUUCUUCUAUUGUGAUCAAAUUUAAAAAAAAAAAAAAAAAAAAUAGGGAGACACAAAAAAUUGCUGUUU